UAGCUUUAGCUUCAGAUAAUCAACAAAAAGGCUGGAAUAUAUUUCACUUUUAAAUGAUCUCAAUUUGUCCACAUUGGGAUUAUUAGAAAACAGAAGUUUUGUGACCAAAUAUGGUUAAAUUAUAUAACAUAUUAUUUUUUUAAGUGAUCUUUUUUUCAAAUCAAAAGAGUCACAACUUUAAGAACUUUAAGUGUAAAGUAUAACUGGUUUUGACGCUGGCAAAAUUAUUUGAACAAUUCAGAUAGUUUUGGUUACUGUAUUUAUUUCUGUAGUAAGUCAUUUAUUCACUUUGCUGUAGAUAUCAAUAAGUGUAAUCAUUUAAAAAAAUCUUGACUGAAAAAUACAGAAAGUGGCAUAGAAAUGUACAAGCACAGAAUACCAAAUUUACAUAAACUCAGUUUUCAAGCUUCCAGGAUAUAGUAGGUUUUUUUUUUCUUUUGUAGAAAUAAUUAAAUAGAUAAAUAAAAAUUCGCAAAACAGUUGAGAUAUUUUACCAGUAAUGAUUGUAAAACAAUGGAAAGCAUUAAUCCCACUUUUCUGUAAACUCCUGCUGUCCAUGUUUUGCAUAUUAAACUUGAUCUUUACAGUUUAAAUUACAUUUUAUAUUUCUUUUUUUUAUGCAGUUAAUUUUGUAUAUAUUGGAUAUUGAUAAGAUAAUUAGUGCUAGAGGGAAAACAAUGUAGAAACUUUAGGAUUAGUGGAUUGGAUCAAUAAAAUAUAAAAUUCCAAGGUGGUAUUUAUUUAGUUCCUUGUUAUUCAGGAAAAUUUGUCCUAUUGCUGUCAUGAAGAAACAAUUUCAUAUGAUACACAGGACUACGAUACUAACGUGCUUUCUCUUUCUUUUAGGACUUGCAGCUGGAGUACGGCCACGAUUCACCAAGUUUGCUGGGAGGAAACAAAAGCCUUCUCAAGUCUGUCGAGGAGGAACUUCAGCAGAGGUGAGUCCGAGCCUUUUUCUUUUUUUCACUUCUGGUUGGACCGACGUGUUGAACUGCGAGUGUGUAUUUUUACCGCAUUCACUCAUCAGCGAAUCAUUUAACGGCAGGACUAACGGUGCCAAUCACACGCCACUAAUGCCGUCGUAAUAAUGACUUCAGUGCUGUCACGGCUCUCACGUUCCAGGUUCUGCUUCCCUUGUUUGUUUGUUUUUUUUCUUCUUCUGCGGCUUGCUUUGUGCUGCGACUGGAAAAUGCUGAAUUUCUUAGGAGCUUCCUGCAGAGAGCAUGGCUCACACACGCACACACACACACACACACAUGCAAUGAGUCACACAUUUAAAAAUGCAACCGACUUAAUUCUACCAAAACAUACUGACAAGUCCUUGGAGAAAUUCUUAUGCGCUUAAAUGAUAAUUGUUGUUGUCCAUGUGCUUUUUGAUAUUCUGAGAGAUUUUGUGAGCUGCUGGAGAAAACAGUCCCUUUGAAAUAUUAGCUUUUUUUUUUUUUUUUUUUUUCUUCCCAUUUUUAAAAAUGCAGUUUUCUAGUUUGAGGCUC